GAUGAACGCUGGCGGCGUGCUUAACACAUGCAAGUGGAGCGACGAACCAGGGCUUGCCCUGGGGCAGAGCCGCGAACGGGUGAGUAACACGUGGGUAACGUGCCCCGAUGACUGGGACAACCCGGGGAAACCCGGGCUAAUACCGGAUAUGCCCCCUGACAUCUGUCAGGUGUGUAAAGGAAGCUUCGGCCUCCGCAUCGGGAUCGGCCCGCGGCGCAUUAGCUUGUUGGUGGGGUAAUGGCCUACCAAGGCAGCGAUGCGUAGCUGGUCUGAGAGGACGAUCAGCCACACUGGGACUGAGACACGGCCCAGACUCCUACGGGAGGCAGCAGUGGGGAAUCUUGCACAAUGCGCGAAAGCGUGAUGCAGCAACGCCGCGUGCGGGAAGACGGCCUUCGGGUUGUAAACCGCUUUCAGUUGGGACGAAGGUCGGCGCGUUAAUAGCGGGUCCGACUGACGGUACCUUCACAAGAAGCCCCGGCUAACUACGUGC
rnacentral:rRNA from 1 species